UAGUCCACGCCCUAAACGAUGUCAACUGGCUGUUGGGCUCAUUAAGGAGCUUAGUGGCGAAGCUAACGCGUUAAGUUGACCGCCUGGGGAGUACGACCGCAAGGUUGAAACUCAAAGGAAUUGACGGGGGCCCGCACAAGCGGUGGAGCAUGUGGUUUAAUUCGAUGCAACGCGAAGAACCUUACCAGGACUUGACAUCCAGAGAACUUUCGAGAGAUCGAUUGGUGCCUUCGGGAACUCUGUGACAGGUGCUGCAUGGCUGUCGUCAGCUCGUGUCGUGAGAUGUUGGGUUAAGUCCCGUAACGAGCGCAACCCUUGUCCUUAGUUGCCAGCACGUAAUGGUGGGAACUCUAGGGAGACUGCCGGUGACAAACCGGGAGGAAGGUGGGGACGACGUCAAGUCAUCAUGGCCCUUACGUCCUGGGGCUACACACGUGCUACAAUGGAACGCACAGA
rnacentral:rRNA from 1 species